rnacentral:rRNA from 1 species
GACGAACGCUGGCGGCGUGCUUAACACAUGCAAGUCGAACGGAAAGGCCUGCUUUCCCUGGUGGUUUGGGGGCACACGGGUGGGGAACGGGUGAGUAACAUGUGAGUGACUUGCCCCCAACUUGGGUAAAAGCCGGGGAAACUGGGUCAAAUUCCCGUUAGGCCUGCAGGGUGGUGCCUGGGUUGGAAAACGAUUUUCUGGUGGUUGGGGUUGAGUCCGCGGCCUAUCAGCUUGUUGGUGGGGUAAUGGCCUACCAAGGCGGCGUCGGGUGGCCGGCCUGGGAGGGUGGACGGCGACAGUGGGACUGAGAAACGGCCCAGACUCCUGCGGGAGGCAGCAGUGGGGGAUAGUGCACAGUGGGCGGAAGCCUGAUGCAACGACGCCGCGUGGGGGAUGACGGCCUUCGGGUUGUAAACUCCUUUCGACCGCGGGGAAGCCACCUGGUUGGAAGGGUGGUGACGGUGGUGGUAGAAGAAGCACCGGCUAACUACGUG